CAGGCAGCGCGGGGCUGCUGG
rnacentral:miRNA from 1 species